CCACAUGUCUGAAUCCUUUAUUUACGAGCACCUUUCGUUCUCCUUCGGUGGGGCAACCUGCCGUUGGAACUAUCAAAACUCUUUUUUGCAUCUAGCAUUACCUGUUCUGAUACAAACAAUCGUUACAACUUUCAACAAUGGAUCUCUUGGCUCUGGCAUCGAUGAAGAACGCAGCGAAAUGCGAUAAGUAGUGUGAAUUGCAGAAUUCAGUGAAUCAUCGAAUCUUUGAACGCACAUUGCGCCCCUUGGUAUUCCAUGGGGCAUGCCUGUUCGAGCGUCAUCUACACCCUCAAGCUUUGCUUGGUGUUGGGCGUCUGUCCCGCCUCCGCGCGUGGACUCGCCCCAAAUUCAUUGGCAGCGGUCCUUGCCUCCUCUCGCGCAGCACAUUGCGCUUCUCGAGGUGCGCGGCCCGCGUCCACGAAGCAACAUUACCGUCUUUGACCUCGGAUCAGGUAGGGAUACCCGCUGAACUUAAGCAUAUCAAUAAGCGGAGGAAAAGAAACCAACAGGGAUUGCCCUAGUAACGGCGAGUGAAGCGGCAACAGCUCAAAUUUGAAAUCUGGCUCUCUUUGGGGGUCCGAGUUGUAAUUUGCAGAGGAUGCUUUGGCAUUGGCGGCGGUCUAAGUUCCUUGGAACAGGACAUCGCAGAGGGUGAGAAUCCCGUACGUGGGCGCCUGCCUUUGCCGUGUAAAGCUCCUUCGACGAGUCGAGUUGUUUGGGAAUGCAGCUCUAAAUGGGAGGUAAAUUUCUUCUAAGCUAAAUAC
rnacentral:rRNA from 1 species